rnacentral:rRNA from 1 species
GAACGAUGAACCUCACUUGUGGGGGGAUUAGUGGCGAACGGGUGAGUAACACGUGAGUAACCUGCCCUUGACUCUGGGAUAAGCCUGGGAAACCGGGUCUAAUACUGGAUACGACCUUCUGGCGCAUGCCAUGUUGGUGGAAAGCUUUUGUGGUUUUGGAUGGACUCGCGGCCUAUCAGCUUGUUGGUGGGGUAAUGGCCUACCAAGGCGACGACGGGUAGCCGGCCUGAGAGGGUGACCGGCCACACUGGGACUGAGACACGGCCCAGACUCCUACGGGAGGCAGCAGUGGGGAAUAUUGCACAAUGGGCGCAAGCCUGAUGCAGCGACGCCGCGUGAGGGAUGAAGGCCUUCGGGUUGUAAACCUCUUUCAGUAGGGAAGAAGCCGGCCUUUGGGUUGGUGACGGUACCUGCAGAAGAAGCGCCGGCUAACUACGUGCCAGCAGCCGCGGUAAUACGUAGGGCGCAAGCGUUAUCCGGAAUUAUUGGGCGUAAAGAGCUCGUAGGCGGUUUGUCGCGUCUGCCGUGAAAGUCCGGGGCUUAACCCCGGAUCUGCGGUGGGUACGGGCAGACUAGAGUGCAGUAGGGGAGACUGGAAUUCCUGGUGUAGCGGUGAAAUGCGCAGAUAUCAGGAGGAACACCGAUGGCGAAGGCAGGUCUCUGGGCUGUAACUGACGCUGAGGAGCGAAGCAUGGGGAGCGAACAGGAUUAGAUACCCUGGUAGUCCAUGCCGUAACGUUGGGCACUAG